GGUCCCGCCUGCCCAGUGACUCUUUAAACGGCCGCGGUAUCCUAACCGUGCAAAGGUAGCAUAAUCACUUGUCCCUUAAAUAGGGACUAGAAUGAACGGCUAAAUGAGAACUAAACUGUCUCUUGCGAGCUGGUCAAUGAAAUUGAUUUUCCAGUACAAAAGCUGGAAUAAACACAUAAGACGAGAAGACCCUGUGGAGCUUCAAAACCAAGUUCAACAAAUAAUGCUUCCUUGCGUUUUUAGUUGGGGCGACUUUGGAGUACAAAAAACCCUCCAAAACAUAUUUAACCAAUUAUAUCAAGAUUAACAAACCAAAAACUACACAAGACCCAGCGAUAACCCCAUGUUUUUGCCUGAUCAAUGAACCAAGUUACCCCAGGGAUAACAGCGCCAUCCCCUUAUAGAGUCCUUAUCGACAAGGGGGUUUACGACCUCGAUGUUGGAUCAGGACCCCCCAAUGGUGCAGCCGCCAUUAAAGGUUCGUUUGUUCAACGAUUAAAGUCCUACGUGAUCU
rnacentral:rRNA from 1 species